rnacentral:rRNA from 1 species
CCUACGGGGGGCAGCAGUGGGGAAUAUUGGACAAUGGGGGGAACCCUGAUCCAGCCAUGCCGCGUGUGUGAAGAAGGCCCUCGGGUUGUAAAGCACUUUCAGUGAGGAAGAACGCCUGGUGGUUAAUACCCAUCAGGAAAGACAUCACUCACAGAAGAAGCACCGGCUAACUCCGUGCCAGCAGCCGCGGUAAUACGGAGGGUGCGAGCGUUAAUCGGAAUUACUGGGCGUAAAGCGCGCGUAGGUGGCUUGAUAAGCCGGUUGUGAAAGCCCCGGGCUCAACCUGGGAACGGCAUCCGGAACUGUCAAGCUAGAGUGCAGGAGAGGAAGGUAGAAUUCCCGGUGUAGCGGUGAAAUGCGUAGAGAUCGGGAGGAAUACCAGUGGCGAAGGCGGCCUUCUGGACUGACACUGACACUGAGGUGCGAAAGCGUGGGUAGCAAACAGGAUUAGAUACUCCUGUAGUC